GGCCUACAAGUCGUGGCUUUGGUUGUUGUCCUCAUCAUCAUCAUCGGUUUCAUUGUCUUCAUUUACUGUUGUCCAAGAAAAAGAAGGAGAGAUCCUGAAAAAGGAAAAAAAAGGAGAGAUCCUGAAAGAG